ACACUCCCCAAAAAUCUGAAAUUGGAGAGAGAGAAUUCAUUUUCAUCUUCCAACACUCCCCAAAGUUGAAUUAAGAGAGAGAAUUCAUUUUCAUCUUCCAACACUCCCCAAAGUUGAAUUAAGAGAGAGAAUUCAUUUUCAUCUUCAACCAAAGUUAAAAACUAAAGAAAGAGAGAGAGAGAACCAUUCGGCCAUGGCUAUGGCAGAUUUAUGAAGCCACGGCCAGCCCUCCUCUUCACUACUAAUUGAUAAUUUUCAAGUUGAAUUGAAGAAAGGAAUGGAAACUACAAUAGCCAUGGCAACUCUUGACCAGCCCAAGUUUUUGAUAGCAAGGAAUUAAAUUUGAGGUUGAAGUACUAAUCGAGACGAGUUUAAAUUAUUAAGUUGGUACGGACAACAAGCGGUAUGGAUACUCGAUUUGGUGAUCCUCCAGCUUAGGACUCCUACUCAGCUGCCUUGGAGAGCUCCAUUGUUCCGGAGCCUAGACUUUUGGUACAGAUCUUUUGAUGUAUAUAUGUUUAUCCAAGGGCACGGCGGGGCCUUGUCACGUUAUAUUUCACUACCGAUACUCUUAGAGGCAUGUAGACAUAUGUGUGGGUUGUGUAUAAGUUUUGCUCAGUUGUGUCUAUGUGAUUUGCUAUGGAUAUGUUCAUAUGUAGUAGCCGCCUUGUCGACUUGGGUAUCGUAUGACGCUUUGACUAAUUGUGACUCCUCAGGAGACAGGUUGUCUUGAUAUAUAUAUAUAUAUAUAUAUAUACAUGACGUUAUGAACC